UACGGAGGGGACUAGCGUUGUUCGGAAUUACUGGGCGUAAAGCGCACGUAGGCGGCUUUGUAAGUCAGGGGUGAAAUCCCGGGGCUCAACCUCGGAACUGCCUUUGAUACUGCAAAUCUCGAGUCCGGAAGAGGUGAGUGGAAUUCCUAGUGUAGAGGUGAAAUUCGUAGAUAUUAGGAAGAACACCAGUGGCGAAGGCGGCUCACUGGCCCGAUACUGACGCUGAGGCACGAAAGCGUGGGGAGCAAACAGG
rnacentral:rRNA from 1 species